UUUGGUGUUCAUCACCGUGAAGAGAGUUCCCUUUGUUCUUACUUCAUGAUCGAGUUGUACGA
rnacentral:tRNA from 1 species